GGUGAACGCUGGCGGCGUGCUUAAGACAUGCAAGUCGAACGGCAGUCUUCGGACUGUAGUGGCGCACGGGUGAGUAACGCGUAACUGACCUACCCCAAAGUCGCGGAUAACGAUUCGAAAGAAUCGCUAAUACGUGAUGUGCUGUCAGAUUGUGUUCUGCCAGUAAAGAUUGAUUGCUUUGGGAUGGGGUUGCGUUCCAUCAGCUAGUUGGUGGGGUAAAGGCCCACCAAGGCGACGACGGAUAGCCGGCCUGAGAGGGUGGCCGGCCACAGGGGCGCUGAGACACGGGUACCACUCCUACGGGAGGCAGCAGUUAGGAAUCUGCCACAAUGGGCGAAAGCCUGAUGGAGCGACGCCGCGUGAGGGAUGAAGGUCUUCGGAUCGUAAACCUCUGAAUCAGGGACGAAAGACACUUCGGUGGGAUGACGGUACCUGAGUAAUAGCACCGGCUAACUCCGUGCCAGCCGCCGCAGUAAGAC
rnacentral:rRNA from 1 species